UACGUAGGGUGCGAGCGUUGUCCGGAAUUGCUGGGCGUAAAGAGCUCGUAGGUGGUUUGUCGCGUUGUCCGUGAAAACUCACAGCUCAACUGUGGGCGUGCGGGCGAUACGGGCAGACUGGAGUACUGCAGGGGAGACUGGAAUUCCUGGUGUAGCGGUGGAAUGCGCAGAUAUCAGGAGGAACACCGGUGGCGAAGGCGGGUCUCUGGGCAGUAACUGACGCUGAGGAGCGAAAGCGUGGGGAGCGAACAGG
rnacentral:rRNA from 1 species